rnacentral:lncRNA from 1 species
GUCUACACCAUUCCAGAUAAACAAACCCCCUCAAAGCCUUCUUUAAAACAACCCUUCCCUGACCCCCAUAGGCAGCUGUGUCUUGAGAGGCUUCCAAGGGGAUGGGGAGGCAGCGCAUGGCUUGACAGCAACUGCUAACGGAUAACACUGAGCUGAUGAUGUUCCAGCCAGGAGCACCUUCAUAGCCACUUAGGUGGGGGUGCUAAAAGCCAUUCCCUGUGAAAUAAAAUCAUCACACACACACAUGCUCGCUAUACACAAUUUGGGCAGCAACCCAUCUCCUCCACCUUUUGGUGCUGAAGAGGUUCUGCAGCCCAGAAAUAAUACUAGUGGUAGCAGUGGUAAUAAUUAUCAUUACUUUUUAUAUUCCACCCACCUGGCAGGGUUGCAUAGCCAAUCUGGGCAGGUUCCAACACAUAACAUAAUAAAAUGUCAAACACUAUUAAUUGUUCCUGUUAAUAACAGUAAUAAUAUUCUAAAAUAAAAGUCAUAAAAACUUUAAAAUAAACAACUUAUAGCAAACAAAGCAAAAUUCAACAAUCCUUCUGAAUCUAGUAGCAAACAGUAAAAUUAAAACAUCAGCAAAAAUUUAACAGUUCACACUUAUCAACCACAAUAAAGAAUUACCAAUCUACAAUCAAUAAAAAUAACAGCAAAUCACAAUGCAUAGAAUACCACAAAACAUACAAAACCAUGUAAAAGGAUUAAAUUGAGAAACAAAGAUACAUAACUCAAAAAAGUAUUUUUAAGAUGAUCUCCUGCUAGUGGCCAAAUUCUCCCCACCUGACAGCAGUGUCCGGGGGGGGGGGUGUCUAAGCAAGGGAGUUCAAUCGUGGUGCAGAAAAGAAGUGAAAAGUACACAGCCACUGGGGAGGGGGGUUUCUAAAAGCCCCUCCCCAUGAAUUAAAGCACCCCCAGAAGUUCUCCUGCUUCUGGGGUGGGGUCUAAGCAAGGGAGUUCAAUCGUGGUGCAGAAAAGAAGUGAAAAGUACACAGCCACUGGGGAGGGGGGUUUCUAAAAGCCCCUCCCCAUGAAUUAAAAGCACCCCCCAGAAGUUCUCCUGCUUUUGGGGUGGGGGUCUAAGCAAGGGAGUUCAAUCGUGGUGCAGAAAAGAAGUGAAAAGUACACAGCCACUGGGGAGGGGGGUGUCGAAAGGCCCCUCCCCAUGAAUUAAAAGCACCCCCCAGAAGUUCUCCUGCUUUUGGGGUGGGGGUCUAAGCAAGGGAGUUCAAUCGUGGUGCAGAAAAGAAGUGAAAAGUACACAGCCACUGGGGAGGGGGGUUUCUAAAAGCCCCUCCCCAUGAAUUAAAAGCACCCCCCAGAAGUUCUCCUGCUUUUGGGGUGGGGGUCUAAGCAAGGGAGUUCAAUCGUGGUGCAGAAAAGAAGUGAAAAGUACACAGCCACUGGGGAGGGGGGUUUCUAAAAGCCCCUACCCAUGAAUUAAAAGCACCCCCCAGAAGUUCUCCUGCUUCUGGGGUGGGGGUCUAAGCAAGGGAGUUCAAUCGUGGUGCAGAAAAGAAGUGAAAAGUACACAGCCACUGGGGAGGGGGGUUUCUAAAAGCCCCUCCCCAUGAAUUAAAAGCACCCCCCAGAAGUUCUCCUGCUUCUGGGGUGGGGGUCUAAGCAAGGGAGUUCAAUCGUGGUGCAGAAAAGAAGUGA